UAUGAUCCAAAUCCAUAUCAUAAGCAUUAAAGACCAUAUUCUAUGGUUUUCCAAUAGCCUGAUAUUCGUACAAUCGUUCAAUAGGUUAACAGAAUGUAUCAAGUGCUUUAGUUAUGACACAAAUUGCUGGUUUCAUGCACUCUCUUCAUGACCAAAUGCAUUCGUAUUCCAGCUAUUCUAUUUCUUACAUUACCACAAUGAAACUAUGCAAAGGUUUUUCAUCACUGGUCCCAAGCCCCCGGGAGAAAGGGGGAUAAAGGGGGAGACGGUUCCAGUAUGCUGAAAUCACUGUAAAACAUUGUCAAAUCUAAUGACAUGAUUCCUAAUAUACAUUUCAUUGAAAUGACCCAGAAUAGCAUCUUCCACAAAAUUUAGCAAUGAACCAACGAAUGACAGAAAAUAAUUCAUACAGCCGAUCCCGAAAUUUUUGAGAAUUAAGGCUUAAUUUAUUGUUUGUAGUAUUAGAACAAUGCACAAGUUACUAUAUCAGUAAUUUAUUUUCCUAGCACCAAAGAUAAACCUUACCUGCAACUGAUCACCAAUAUUGAUGACAAAAGCAUCUGCGUGGGGAUUUAUUGCUAACCAUUUGCCAUCUAUCAGAACUUGAAGGCAACACAUGGCCGACAAAUGGUUAGCAAUAAAACCCCACCCGGAUGCUUUUGUAUGUUGUUGCAAGAUUAACUUCUAGGGAGGCUUGAGUGUCGGAUUCCGCUGGAGAUAACCUUUGCUUCCAUGGAUUCCAGUCUCUGAAUUACUGGAAAAAGGGAACACACCAGUUAAGAUGCAACGUUGCUGUAAGGCUUUGGCCACUUCAACGAUGGUAUAAUAAGCUGCAUGAUGCACCAAUGAUUUUCCAUAUUCCUGGCUGUCUAAGCAUUGUAAACAUGUCGUUUAUUUACCAAAAGACUGGAAUAUAAAUAUAUUAAUAGUGAAGGCAUACAGUAAAAUUCAUUAUAAUAUUUCUAAACAUUGUAAACAAAUUAAUCAUUUUCCAAAACAGCAUAAUAAGAAUACAGUAAAAGUAAGCAUCUACAGUAAAAUUGUUUACAACUUUUGCACUUCUUCAAAUCGAUAACAAAAAAAUACUAGGGGUAAAGGUAAAAGGUUAACGCAGAGAUCUCUAUAACGUAGAAAGUGUACACUUACACCUGCACACCCUUCCAAACACUAACAACAUAAAAUUUUGAUUCCAAGGGAAAAUCACAGUGGUGGUCGGCAACGCAUUGAAUCUGUGAAAACAGGUUCCCUGCCCUUAUUGCUUGUAAUAUAUAUAAUAGUCAUCCUUUCAUUUGGUCCCCAGUGAAUGGAAAGUAGGAAGCCAUAAAUUUUCAGCAUUAAAAUGUCACUUGCAAGAAGAGUGCUGUUUUAUGUAAAAUGGGUAACCAGAAAUAAUUUUGUUGAAACACAAAACAAACAGGGAAAUGAUAGGACUCAAAAAGGAAAAAGAAAUAACUGCAUCCAAACCACCAGCUGCGUCCGGCUAUCCCACCAUGCCCCUGCAAGAGAUAUAGGUGUGGGAAGGGGUAUGCAGAAUUGGGGUUAGGGAGAUUUUGUUUUAUAAUCCCCCUUCCUUUUCUAUUUUUGAUUUUCUAUUUCUAUUUCUCUUUCAGUUGAAAAUAAAGAUUAAAUCGUCCCUCCUGCAAAAAAAAUGUUGUCUUACAUUCAAAUGGAUGAACGCCAUCUACAACUACCAGAGACCAAGUUGCUACAAACUUGUAAAGUUGAGGAUUACCUCACAACAAUGCCCAUAGGUCGGCUUUCAUUUUAAAAAUAAUCAUGAAGAUGACAUUGACAAUAUCAUGACAGUAACUUACAAAUUUAUGCAAUGGACAGAGAAAAAUUUACGAGUUAAUCGUAUCUCCAACAUAAAAUUGGAUAAAAAAUAUUUAAAAGCAGCCAAGCACUAAUUCUGAAGAACUGGGCUACCAAGAAUAAAACUUUCAAGGGACUUUAAUCUGCAAUCUUUUGAGCUUAAGGCAGUGAGAUUAUCCAGCCGACCUGUCUCAAUUUAAAAAACUGCGCCACCGUCCAACCAAAACCAUCCUUCUAUCGUUCUCCUACCCUCCCAAACUUCGAAUUUCCACUCGACCAUCAAUAAGUAAACCAGCAGAACAAUCAAAUCCAAUACAAUUUAUAAUAUCGCUCAAUAUUUUAUAGAGCUAUACAAUGUCAGCAGGGGUGCCAGUAAUAUAAUGUGUAGAUGUUGUUCCCAGCCACUGUAGUAUAUAAGGUGAACCCAAUAGUUGAAGUUAGCUAAAUGAGCUAACUAGCCCAUUAAACAAAUUGUCUUAAGAUUUAUGGUGUGCUCGUAAAUCAUAUAGAAAAAAGGAUCAAACAGAACAACUUUCUGUAAUCAAACAACCAAUCUACUGAUUCAUAAAAAUUAAUAAUUCGUAUCAUACCCUUUAUCAUUUAGAGUGUGAAGCCAGGAAUUACGAGGCUUAUAUAACUUUCAAGAAUUUCUAGCAGAAAUUGUUAAGGGCAAAUCCCACAUCGGUUAGUUAAGUACGAAAAUAUUAACCAACUGCUACUACUCUUAAGACAUUGAUGUUUUAAGAUGGAACUUGUACGGUAGGUUCAACUCAAGUUGGUCAUUUCUGUAUCGAUAAGUAAUUAUAUCUUAAGAAGAAACCAAGAAAAAGCGAAAAGCGUUUUGAGUGCUGGAAGGAAAGAAAGGUAAAGGAAAAAGGCUCAAGUUUCCCAUGCAAUUAACAUAGAAAUGACUCACUAUUCAAGUCGUCAUCCCAUAAAGUGCCCACCUUUCUAAUAGCGACAACAAAAACACAGUAAACUAAGGAUUGGCUUCAUGAUUUGUUUCACCUCUCCUUUGGUUGCUAUGUCUAGAUUAAUUCCUUUAGGUUAUUAACUAUAACUAGAUACCAAAACUUCAAUUACAAUUCAAGCAUUCGUUAAUUCGAAGAGUUAAUAAUUAUAAAGCAAACAAAACAGCAAAUUAAAAAGAAUCAGAGACGGAAAGGGAGGGAAAAUGGAACCUGGGCGCCUUCUUUUUCAAUUGGUUCGAAUCUUCAACCAAGUCUGUUUCAUACAGAAUAUCAACUUAAACUGCAAUACUUUUCUCUGUACAUACACAGGACACGAUAAGAACACAAGAGGGUUUCCAGUUUAAUUGAACAGGAAAGUAAAUGAAAACGGCUAAAAAUAAAGAAGAAAUUACCAACAACCCAUGAAACACCAUUGAUUUUGCGUUUACGAAUUCAAGUAAUAAGCGUAAGCCCAUAGUUUCAAAUCACAUGACUUCAUGUCUCUUACGCAAGCGAGUUGCGGUGAUGAAAUCAUCACUGACAUCACAUGCUGCGUCAUCGAACAAUUAAACAUUAACAUUUAUGAAUAUUAUAGGUCGGCAGGGCAUUGGACAGUGAGGAUCUGACUGUUUUGGCAGAAUACUACGUUUUUGAUACGGAAGAGCAUCGGCACAGCCGAUGAGCUUUUUCUUUCCAACCCAGCUACACGCAGUCGGUGUACAAGCCCAGCUUUUUCUUUCCAGCCCAGAUCCGAUCAUUAAUUCGGUGUGGACCCCUCUCCUCACGUGACAAGAGUAUAUGACCUUUUAUUUUUUAUUUUUUUUUAUCUUUUUCUAACGAGCAAUUCAAACAUGUUACAGGAGCAGGCUCAUUGAUGGCAGAUAAUUGCCAAUCAAAAGCUACUAACUCAUUCCCCGUAAAUAAACCCAUAAAAUAUGACCAAACUUUUAUCAAGGUUCACAAAUUGUGACCACCCGAUUUUUGAAAAAAAUAAAAAUAAAAAUAAAAAUCCCUGAGUUUGUUAAUUUUGAAAAUAUAACUUCAAACCUUUGUAGUUAUGUAAUUAUUUUUCUUAUUUUGAUUAUUUUACAAUAAAUUUUAUAACACAAUGUGUUAUACUUCGUAAAAUUGUGUAACGUUCCACCACCCUUAUUUUUGUCGUCGUUGUUGUUACUAUCACUUAUAACAGUUAUUGACAUUUUACCACCUAUUUCAUACAAUUUCAACCGUCAGUCACCCCAACUUAUAAUAUUUAACGUUACAUCACCACUUGCAACAUUUAUCUAUCAUGUAGUUAAAUAAUCUAGAAUGAUGAGAUAUUAUAGCCUUUGAUUGAUCCUUAUUAUUUUUAAAAUACAUUUUCCCUCUUUUCUUUUCAAACACACAUUUAAUAAAAUAAUAUUACACGUAAACGCAAAACAUUUUUUUAUUUUCUACUCACACAUUCUACAUCAAUAUAUCAAUCUAAAAUGCAUUCUUGGCCAAAUAAUAAGGUUCAACAAAGAGCAUAAAAACCACGCGUUUUUUGGUUUAUGAUGAAAAAAUAAACUCCAAAAUUCCUAUACCAGAAGUAAAAUAUCAUCUGGUGACAAACAUAAUUAGAGCAAUCAGAGAAACAAAAGGAGGACAUCAGCUAAUAAAAUUCACUUCUUGUCACAAUCCGUGUGAUGCAGUGAGGCGAGCACGAAAAUAAAGCAGCAAUCUAGAGGCCAAAUAGCAAUUUUAGUUCUUGAAAAGUUCCAAACAGUGUUCCUGGUCAAGGUUCCGACUCCAGAACUUCUUGUAAUACUCCGCGUAUGUGAAAUCCCGAUAAAUGGAUGGAGAUCCAUCGUUUAUAAGAUCCUUUGGUGCAACGAUCAUUGCACUAUCACACGGGCAGAGGAAGGAAGCUACUGACAAUCUUGCUUUAUCUGAAUUUACUAUAGCUCGAUGCCAAACACUUCUAUAUUUUCCAUUACUCAGCGCCUGGAGAAAAUCAUUCUUAGUUAUCAUCCAAAUCCAUAUUAUAAGCAUUAAAGACCAUAUUAUAUGGUUUUCCAGUAGCCUCAUAUUCAAACGAUCGGAUGGGAUAUUAGAUAUCCUUGCACGUUUUUAGCUUCCAUGCACAUGGUAAAGUAUUGUUUCUCAUCGACACCACACAUUCUAUGAGAAUAAUCCAUCUUCUAAAGGAGACUGACAAAGAAAUAUUAUAAAAGAACCGAUUUUUUGUCGUUCAAUAGGUUAACAGAAUGUAUCAAGUGCUUUAGUUAUGACACAAAUUGCUGGUUUCAUGCACUCUCUUCAUGACCAAAUGCAUUCGUAUUCCAGCUAUAUUCUAUUUCUUACAUUACCACAAUGAAACUAUGCAAAGGUUUUUCAUCACUGGUCCCAAGCCCCCGGGAGAAAGGGGGAUAAAGGGGGAGACGGUUCCAGUAUGUUGAAGUCGCUGUAAAACAUUGUCAAAUCUAAUGACAUGAUUCCUAAUAAACAUUUCAUUGCAAUGACCCAGAAUAGCAUCUUCCACAAAAUUUAGCAAUGAACCAACGAAUGACAGAAAAUAAUUCAUACAGCCGAUCCCGAAAUUUUUGAGAAUUAAGGCUUAAUUUAUUGUUUGUAGUAUUAGAACAAUGCACAAGUUACUAUAUCAGUAAUUUAUUUUCCUAGCACCAAAGAUAAACCUUAC
rnacentral:lncRNA from 1 species